GUCCUCACUUUUGAGAUAAGUUGAAACGGAGAGUCAACGAGGCUCCGUCUUGCAGCUACAUCCGGUUAAAUAUAUCAUGUGACUUGAACGCUGGGGAGCGUCAAUCGAAUCGAAUCAAACCUAACUCUCAGAUGAAUCUUCAAAAUUCACCUCAGAAAUAUGCUUAUUAUUCUUCUCAGAGUACUGCAGGAUACACACACACACACACACACACACACACACACACACACACACACACACACACACACACACACACACACACACUCAGAGUCUGUUUUUUAGCACCUGCAAAAACAUGCUAUUUACAUAUUUGACAAGAAUGCAGAGGCUUCCUUUUGCCCCUGAAAAAAAUCAAAUUUCAAACACAACUUGACUGCUCAUUUCUCCAAAAGACAACCAUGAAGCUCCAUCCAAACCUGAAGCAGGCAGUUGGUGCAUGUGUACAGUAACCUGAGGGGAGUGAGGUGACUGCUUCUGAGGAGAACAUGAGCAGUGAAGAUUCACCUUGGAGCUAGAACAGAGACAUGCACAUGAUUAUACAGGGGCAGGGGCUCAAGUUUUUUCCAGUCGUUUAUACAAUAUGGAAAUUAAUGUGAAAUUAAAAAACAAAGUAUGACUGUCCUGUGUAGGUGACAGUGAUAUCCAAUAGGCUAGGCACUCACGAGGCUGGCUGUGGCAAGUGUAAGUGAAAGCAACACGCACUGGCAGGAAGAACAGCAAACGCUGAUGAAGGAAAAGGGUCUUUGCAGUGAUGGGCGUUACCAGAGAGGGCGAUGGCCAGAGGACACAAAUGGGACGGGAAGGCAGCACGUUGGGGGGGGGGGGGAGGGACACGGCUCGGGCCCGCCAGUGCCCCAACGGGGCCCUAGUUUCUUCUUUUUCCUCCCCUUUGAACUGGAAAAUGGCCCACUUCCCACUGGCGAAAACUCAUGAAAUUUGGCAGGAUGACCGGGCCUGGUGAAAAAUUUGAUAUUCCGAAGUCGCCCAAACAAGAAAAUGCAAAAUGGCUCCAUAGCGCCCCCUAAGGUGAAAAUUCACACUAUUGACUGUCACGCCUUUACGCUUUGUCAUAUUGACACAAAAAUUGACACACACAUGUAUCUCAAUAAGAUCUACAAAAAAGUCAGUGCGGGCGUAUCUGUCAAAUGUACGGUUAAAGGGUUAUUGCGCAUUUUUUGCUGACCCGCACACAUUGGAAUUUCGCUAACUCCUCCUAAGGCUGGCGUUCCACCGGCACCACAUUUGCUCAGGCCAAUCUACACCCCAUGGCCAUUAAAAGUUAUUCAAAUCAUGACGCUGCACCCCACGGUUUAGGUUCUAGGGGGCGCCAAAGAUAACCCUAAAAUCCACAUAUUUAAAAGUCUUAUAACUUUUUAUUUUUGUCCUCACUGGCCUCCAAGUUUUCUAGGAUGAUGCAAUGUCCAGCCAUCAACACAUUUGUGAAGGAAUUUUUACUCCCCAAAAGAGCGCCCCCCCAUGGCAGGAGAAAAAAGUCCAUUUUUUCUUGUCCCAUAAGGUGAAAAAACACAUUGUUGACUGUCAUACCUGUACGCUUUGUCAUAUUGACACAAAAUUUGACAAUCACAUGUAUCUCAAUAAGAUCUACGAAAAAGUCAAUGCGCGCGUAUCUGUAAAAUGUACGGUUAAAGGGCUAUUUUGCAUUUUUUGCCGAUUCGCACACAUUGGAAUGUGGCUAACUCCUCCUAAGGCUUUCGUCCCACUGACACCAAAUUUGCUCAGGCCAAUCUACACCCCAUGGCCAUUCAAAGUUGUAAAAAUCAUGACGCUGCACCCCACGGUUUACGUUCUAGGGGGCGCCAAAGAUGACCCAAAUAUCCACAUUCUUAAAAGAAUCCACAUCCCCCCCCCCCUCAUCCCCCAACCCUCAUGGCAGGAGAAACAGUCAAGUUUUUCCUGCCCAUCACUCAAUGGCUCAAUCGCAUCACUCUCCCGGCAACACCGUAACAAGGAGCAACUUGCCGUUUGGAUAUAUCCUAGCUGUGUUUGUGCCCUCACUCAUGGUCCAGACUUUUUUCAAAUAGGACAUGUAGUUUGUCUGCAGCGAGUGUUUUGGUAGAAACUGCGCCUCCCAUUCAUUAUAAUGGGAAAUGACCACAGACAAGUGCGCACACCAUCUUUGGACCUUGAGUGUGACGCGAUCGGGAGGGGGAGGCGGUCGCGCUGGGGGCGGCGCAACGCGGCUCGGGCCCGACAGUGCCCCACCGGGGCCCUAGUUAGGGCCCGAGCCAGCUGCAGAGCAGCCGGGCGUAGAGCCCUAUUAUUCCUGUAUAGGUUUUUCUUUCUUCUUUCUUUAGGGCCCGAGCCAGCUGCAGAGCAGCCGGGCGUAGGCCCUGUUAUUCCUGUAGGGGUUUUUCUUUGUUUCUUUCUUUCUUCUUUUUCCUCCCCUUUGAACUGGAAAAUGGCCCACUUCCCACUGGCGAAAACUCAGGAAAUUUGGCAGGACGACCGGGCCUGGUGAAAAAUUUGAUAUUCCGAAGUCGCCCAAACAAGAAAAUGCAAAAUGGCUCCAUAGCGCCCCCUAAGGUGAAAAUUCACACUAUUGACUGUCACGCCUGUACGCUUUGUCAAAAUGACACAAAAAUUGACACACACAUGUAUCUCAAUAAGAUCUACAAAAAAGUCAGUGCGGGCGUAUCUGUCAAAUGUACGGUUAAAGGGUUAUUUCGCAUUUUUUGCCGAUCCGCACACAUUGGAAUUUCGCUAACUCCUCCGAAGGCUUUCGUUCCACCGGCACCACAUUUGCUCAGGCCAAUCUACACCCCAUGGCCACUAAAAGUUAUUCAAAUCAUGACGCUGCACCCCACGGUUUAGGUUCUAGGGGGCGCCAAAGAUAACCCUAAAAUCCACAUUUUUAAAAGUCUUAUAACUUUUUAUUUUUGCCCUCACUGGCCUCCAAGUUUUCUAGGAUGAUGCAAUGUCCAGCCAUCAACACAUUUGUGAAGGAAUUUUUACUCCCCAAAAGAGCGCCCCCCCAUGGCAGGAGAAAAAAGUCCAUUUUUUUCUUGUCCCCUAAGGUGAAAAUACACAUUGUUGAGUGUCACGCCUGUACGCUUUGUCAAAAUGACACAAAAAUUGACACACACAUGUAUCUCAAUAAGAUCUACAAAAAAGUCCAUGCGCGCGUAUCUGUCUAAUGUACGGUUAAAGGGUUAUUCGGCAUUUUUUGCCGAUUCGCACACAUUGGAAUUUCGCUAACUCCUCCGAAGGCUUUCGUUCCACCGGCACCACAUUUGCUCAGGCCAAAUUACACCCCAUGGCCAUUAAAAGUUAUUCAAAUCAUGACGCUGCACCCCACGGUUUACGUUCUAGGGGGCGCCAAAGAUAACCCAAAAAUCCACAUUUUUAAAAGUCUUAUAACUUUUUAUUUUUGUCCUCACUGGCCUCCAAGUUUUCUAGGAUGAUGCAAUGUCCAGCCAUCAACACAUUUGUGAAGGAAUUUUUACUCCCCAAAAGAGCGCCCCCCCAUGGCAGGAGAAAAAAGUCCAUUUUUUCUUGUCCCCUAAGGUGAAAAUACACAUUGUUGACUGUCACGCCUGUACGCUUUGGCAAAAUGACACAAAAAUUGACAAUCAUGUGUAUCUCAAUUAGGUCUACGAAAAAGUCAAAGAGCGCGUAUCUGUAUAAUGUACGGUAAAAGGGCUAUUUUGCAUUUUUUGCCGAUUCGCACACAUUGGAAUUUCGCUAACUCCUCCUAAGGCUUUCGUCCCACUGACACCAAAUUUGCCCAGGCCAAUCUACACUCCAUGGCCAUUCAAAGUUGUAAAAAUCAUGACGCUGCACCCCACGGUUUACGUUUUAGGGGGCGCCAAAGAUGACCCAAAUAUACAUUACAGUAGACAAUGUAGUUUUGCCCACUGAGUGGCGCCAAAGGGACUUGUCUGUGGAGUCUGUGAGUCACUAUUGGCCGUUUUUGACUACUUUAGAUUUUACCUUUAUAUUUCCUCUUACAAAAUUUUUACCUUGCCUUGCCUGGUAUCAUUUUUUUCAGCACAACCUCACCUGUGUCAAUUUACAGUUAUUUUAUCAUUUUGACAUACUAUAUUUACACAUUGGACCCAAAUUCACACACAAAACAUAAAAUCCGAGUGGAAAAAAGUAAUGUUUUUACUGUGAAAACCACAAAUAUGUGUGAUGAACUGUUUUUAAAACUUAAACUUCAAAUAAAAAUUGUAAACUUCAAAACAUAUGCAAAUUUUUAACAAAGAACAUAGUGAUUUACCUCUAUUUACAUCAAAAUGCAGGCAAUGGCCCAGGCGUUCUUUGUAAAAUUAUUUACAAAACACUGUAUAGUCUCACAAAUGUCACUUUUUAUUUAUGCCACUACAAAAAAACAUGAUGUAAAUGAUGCAUGAUGUAAAACAUGAUGUAAAAAACUUGUGUAGAUCCUCCUCUAUGUCAGUCCAUGUGUAAUUUUUCCAUAAUUCUUUGUUUUUUGCAGCAUUUUUGUUAGUGUAACUGCAGAUUGUGCUGACAGUGUCUAUGGCAAAAAAAAAAAAAAAAUUAAAAUGCCUCAACAUGAACCCCUGGUGGUCUCUGAGGGUGAAACCUGCUAACUGCUGCAGCUCUGUCAGCUUCAGUCUCCCAUGCAGAGCUCGGAGCGCAUGUGUGGCUCUGCACCCUUAGCAGCGUUGCUAACUCCUCAGUAAGGAAAGCCUGCUUCAUGUCAGAGUCUCUAAACUCCAGAAGAAGUCGAUAAAAGUCCCUUUCUUUCUAAAAAAAAGUCGUUAGGGGGUCUGAAAAGUCAUUGAAUCUAACAACAAAGUCGCUAGGUUUGCAACUACGUGUCCCAGACUGCAUCCCUGCUGAGAGUCCCUCCCUCCCUUCUCAUGUUGCAGGAAGAACGUAAGCGCCCUCCCCUUGUCAAUCAGUCACCAUAUAAUUUUGGAUUGGUUGUUGUGGUGAAGUUUUCCACCAAUAGGAGAGAUGUUGUGGUGUGUUUUUUUUUUCUUUUGGCAAGCCUUUUCCGCCUGUAAGACCUGUCGCUAAUGUCUGCAUGCUAUGUUUUCCUGUCUCAUACAGCGCGAUCGAGCGCCGAACGUGAUCAAAAUAAGCAGAAAAAAAGUAUCGCGGACAUAAUUUAUCAUAACUCUGGUUUUAUUUGGCCUAUCAACACAAUUUAAAAACUGGUAUAUAGGUUGAGGUCCUCACUUUUGAGAUAAGUUGAAACGGAGAGUCAACGAGGCUCCGUCUUGCAGCUACAUCCGGUUAAAUAUGUCAUGUGACUUGAACGCACACACAGACACACACACACGCACACACACACACACACUCAGAGUCUGGUUUUUAGCACCUGCAAAAACAUGCUAUUUACAUAUUUGACAAGAAUGCAGAGGCUCCUUUUGCCCCUGAAAAAAAUCAAAUUUCAAACACAACUUGACUGGUCAUUUCUCCAGAAGACAACCAUGAAGCUCCAUCCAAACCUGAAGCAGGCAGUUGGUGCAUGUGUACAGUAACCUGAGGGGAGUGAGGUGAGUGCUUCUGAGGAGAACAUGAGCAGUGAAGAUUCACCUUGGAGCUAGAACAGAGACAUGCACAUGAUUAUACAGGGGCAGGGGCUCAAGUUUUUUCCAGUCGUUUAUACAAUAUGGAAAUUAAUGUGAAAUUAAAACACAAAGUAUUAAUAGAAAG
rnacentral:lncRNA from 1 species